AGACAGUAAAAUGUAAGUGGUUGCAUAUUUGUCUCAUAAGCAGAGUGGUGGGUUCAACUCCUAAACUGUCAU
rnacentral:tRNA from 1 species